UGUGACGCUGCGGCAGGCUUAACACAUGCAAGUCGAGGGGUAUAUGUCUUCGGAUAUAGAGACCGGCGCACGGGUGCGUAACGCGUAUGCAAUCUACCUUUUACAGAGGGAUAGCCCAGAGAAAUUUGGAUUAAUACCUCAUAGCAUAGCGACUUCGCAUGAAGCAACUAUUAAAGUCACAACGGUAAAAGAUGAGCAUGCGUCCCAUUAGCUAGUUGGUAAGGUAACGGCUUACCAAGGCUACGAUGGGUAGGGGUCCUGAGAGGGAGAUCCCCCACACUGGUACUGAGACACGGACCAGACUCCUACGGGAGGCAGCAGUGAGGAAUAUUGGACAAUGGGCGCAAGCCUGAUCCAGCCAUGCCGCGUGCAGGAUGACGGUCCUAUGGAUUGUAAACUGCUUUUGUACGAGAAGAAACACUCCAACGUGUUGGAAGCUUGCGGUUCGUAGAAUAAGGUCGGGUAAAUCUUGCAUCAGCCCCGUAUCGAAGUCCAGCGUUUCCGAUCAUGGUUAAAGGGCCGAGCGUUAUACUAGUGGGAACCUCUACGGGACGCCUUCCGUAAUGAUUUUGAGACAUUAGGACGGA
rnacentral:rRNA from 1 species